GCUCCUGCUAAAACAAAAGAGGUGUUUGCUGCGCUUAAUUAUCGAAUUUCGGCUAAUCGAGAACUGAUGAGGUAAUCAACACUCAAUUGAUGGUUUUUCGGUAAAUUUUCCAAAAAUGGGUCAAGCAUUUUUCUCCAUAUUUCAGCUGGAAACAAAGAGGU